GAAAUUCAAAGUGUGUCACAAAACUACAGCAGCAUUCAUGGCCAACCUAUUUGGUAGAAAGGAUUGAAAUCAGAUGGGAGGUCAAUUUGCUGUCUAAAUCAAACAAACUUAGCUCCUUUGCAGAUAAUUGAAGAUGCUGCAACAUUGCUCGAAAACAUUUUAUAACAAGCAGCCCCAUCCUUCUGCAGGUGGCCUCUUCUCGAGCUUUCUUGGCAAAUCAAGAGCUUCUGCCUUUUGGGGGACAUCCUCUUGACCUCCCACCCAUAUCAGCUCUUAGAGGACAUUCCACGGGAGCAUUGUCUUCUUGUCCUCCAGUAUUUUUUAUGGAAACAGAAAUUAGGUUAUCUUCCUUAUGCUCUAGAUGGACAUCUGAAAUCAUCAAACCCUUGAGAGAAAUUGCCCUCAUUCUUUUAUGAGACAACGUGGAAGGAAACAGGACUCUGAAGAUUUGUCUCCAUAUUCUCUGGAAAGAUGUACUCUAUUUGCAAUAAGAGGGAGCCACAUGGUUUAUUAGAUGGUUGUUAGUUGAGCAUUCUGUGCAAAGAAGUUUGUGCCUUAGAGAUAAUUUCUCAAAUUACUUUGGAAAACACCAAUGUAAAGUGCUCAGUUUACCACUUGAGGAAAACGAGAGAAGAUCAGAGGAGUAAAGCCAUUUUUCCAAGGUCACACAGCCUGACAACUGGAAAGCCUGGCCUCGCACCUAAGUCUUUUAGCACAGAUUCCAAAGGAGACUUCAGUGAAAGUAAAAAGAAAGAAAGAGAGACAGAGAGAGAAAGAAAGAGAGAGAGAGAGAGAGAG